UGCACGCUCUAAAAUAAAAAAAUAGAAUAAAAAAGCUGAAAGGGAGCUGUCCCUUUAGACGGGCAUGGGCUCCUAAGCUCACCGCAGCCUCCACCAGUCCCUGUUACCUCCUGGGCACUGCGGCUGAGUUACAGACUCGAAAGGAACUCCCACAGGCAGGGGUCAGAAGAAUCUCUGGGAGGCUUAGGACUCUACAUUCUUAACAGGUUUUCGAGGGGAUUCUUUUAUGACUCGAGGAUAACGUAAAUGACGCCUGAGUGGGCUACACACCAGUCAACUGAGCAGGUUUAAGAAAUUCAGAUUUGGGGGUCCGUCCCCAGGCCUACAGAGUCAAUAGCUCUGGAGACAAGGUUUGGGAAUCUGGCGGCAACAACGCUUCUCAGGUGAUCAUGGGGGCAGUGCUCAAAAACCACUUACGUAAACUUAAGUUUUCAAAGAAACAGGCCCAGGGAGGGAAAGGGACUUAUCUAAGGCCACACAGCAAGAUAAUGGCCAAGGCAGGAUGAAGAUGCAGGGCUGAGGAUAAAGAAGUAAAAUACUGGGCCCCCUGUGAUCUACCAGGCUCGAAUACCACGGUCUGGGUGGGGGUCCACCACGGGCCACGCAGAGAAUACUGCCGGCUCGGCAAGGACUCCAUUCUUCCUUCCGCGGCUGUGUGAAGGCAGCCACGGAGCAAACGCAGCCAGGGUAAGUACAGGGGUGCGGCUGUGUUCCAGAAAACCGUAUUUACAAAAGCAGGCCGUGAGCUGGAUUUAGCGCAGAGGGUGUAGUUUAGUGACCCCCAUUCUCGAGCUAUGCAAACAAUGAAAACCCAGCCCUCCCUUGAGGAGCUAGUGGGCUAGCGCUAUUACUGACCUUAAGCCGGGUCUGGCACUGUUUUCACUGCGGUGGAUCAACCGCACCAAGGACCAUAAAAGCCACUGAGCACAUACUAUGCCCUGAACACUGCGUCCAUGUCACCACCUCGAAUUCUCAACUCUGCCGAGCAGGCAUUAGGACUUUCAUCGGACACAGAAGGAAACCGUGCUCAGAGGGCCGAAGGGAUAUGUACAAACUCACACAGCGGAGGAUUCGAACCCCCAUCUGAUGACUCUCAAACCCGAGCUGUUUCCACUGCACCGUCCCAGGACUGAGCUGCUGAGUAAGCCGGAAGCCCCCAAAGCAAACAUCCUUGGUAUUAUUCUGAAUAUCUCCUCGCUUCUCUGCUUCAUGCACCCUGUGGUGGUUCAUGGACAGUAUUUAGUGAUACUUUCACCCUCCCUGGGGGCGGGGUGCUGGAAAGGGAUCACUUGGGGUCAGAUCCUUACUCUGCUACUUCCUAACUAUGUAUGUCUUUAGGCAAAUCGCCCAGUGCCUCAGCUUUCUUCUCAUCCUUAAAAUGGGUAUGCUAAUAUACGUAGUUCGCACGGAGUCUGGCACACUGUUAGCUGGUACUAUAACGUGACUGUUACCACUGCCCCCUGAAGCCCGCUGCGAGGGGCUUCUAGGUCUCCAUGUUCUCGAGGCAGAGGAUGGACUCAGAGGCCGGGCAGCCUCCCUCCUCUGCUUGUGAUUCUUUAUUCACAGCUGUAUCUUCUAAAAGGGCACGUUUCUAUAUUUAUCACUCUUCUUUGAACAAGAACUCUCAGUUCCUUACAGGCAGCAGUUUCUUAGCGUCUAGAUGUUGGGGGAUAUUCUUGAUCUGUGUUUACUGUGAAGGAAAUAGCUGUGAGCACGUGCGGGGUCCCCGUGUCAGCUCGUCGGUCCGAGACCGCGAUGUUCCGGGGGCAGCGCUCCCACGAACCGCCACGGCACGUGCUCUAAGGGAUGAAGGUCCGUUGCUUCGAGGGAAACAGCCUGGUCUUCUACAAAAGUGGGAUUAAAAAACAAAACUUUUGAAUAGGUCAGCGAUUCCCCCGACAACCCUCUUUCUGCUCAGCGGAUCCUUUCUUCACGGACAAAGGAAUUAAAUGUCACCCAGGUUCAAACCUAAAUUACAUGGGUUUGAGGAGGUCCCUGGGUAGCUCUUCAUCUGCCACCAAAAACAGGCCUAAAAAAAUAGUUACUGCAGCAACCGCUUACGGAGAUUCUGACCCGGUCCAGCUGCAGGAGCAGAGAUUCCGGACUUCUAACAGCUCCCUGGUGAUGCUUAUGCCUGUGGCCUCGGGACCACUCGCUGAGGAGCCUGCCAAGAGACUGGAAGCUCAUUCCGGUGGCCUGGGUGGCCCAUGUCCCCCCGUGGAUGGCGUGGUUACAUGCCAGACCAGGGCCAGCGCACGGUGAGGGGGGUGAGGACGGAGCGGGACGGCACUCACGCAGGAUGGGAAGAGGCCGCCAUCCUGAAGGGGUCUGGGGGCCAAGCAUCCUUGGGGCUCAGGGAAGCAGAUGGAACAUUCAUCAUCCCCGCCUCUGCUCUCGCAGAACCGUAAGUCGCUAGGCUGUGCCGAGACACUGUGACGGCAAUUCACGCGUCUACCUCUUCCGACGUCUUGAGGUUCAGAGAGCAUGGUGUGCUCAUCAGCAUUUUCCAGAGAGUAACACAGCAAAAUAAAAAUUCCUGGACCUCAGCAGAGAUGAGGAAUUGUCAAGUGGCGGUGAGUUUGCCCUCAGAGGACAUCUGGCGAUGAUGGAUGACAUCUCUGGUUGUCACAGCUGGAGUGUGUGGCUAGUCUAGGGGCCGGCACCCAGGGACGUAGUCUCACAUCCAACACUGCACGGACAGUUCCCCCUGCUCCCAACCGAGAACUACCAGCUACCGUAUUCGCAGUGCUGAGGUUGAGAAACUCUGCCCUCGGUACCCUCAACUUUGAACCCAGAAAUGUAUUUUUACGGAGUAUUUUAGGGGAUUCUGAUUGAAAUGCAGUUCAGAGAAAUGGAUUUGGAAACCUACAUUGGCCUAUGGGACCUCGAGGUUUUUUUUCCCCUUUCUAUGCCUCAGUUUCUCUAUCUCUAAAAUAGAGUAACGAUAAUAAUAUCUCGGGAUGCCUGGGUGCCUCAGUCAGUUAAGUGUCCAACUUUGGCUCAGGUCAGGAUCUUGCGGUU